rnacentral:misc_RNA from 1 species
GUGCUACUAUCCCAAUAGAUGAAGUUUAUUUGGCUCUUAGCUUUGUGUGCUGCAAUAGGCAAAUCUGCUGUCUGCUUUAUUCCUGAGUCUGAACAUAUCAAUGGAGAGAAUGGCUGGUACGUACCUAGAUCCGAUGGUAGCUUUUAUUGGAUAGAUAAGGCUGAAGCAGAAAUGGUGCUCAAAGCGGUAAGAAGCUUAUUGAAUGAUGAAAUACAAAAUGCUCCGGUCGACUUCUACCUGUUCACCAAGUCGAAUCCCACCGAAGGAACCAAUAUCACAGCGACUAACAAUUCCAUUAAAGAAUCCAAUUUCAAUGCCAAUAACCCAACAAGAUUUAUUAUCCACGGCUGGCGCCAGGACAGAUUAUCGGAUAUGAACAACAAGAUUCGUGACGCCUGGCUGAGCAAUGGCGAAUACAACGUGAUCGUCGUAGAAUGGGCUAGUGCACAAACAUUCUAUUAUCCUAAGCCCGUUGAGGCUGUAUCCACCGUGGGGAAGAAGGUCGCCAACAUGAUCAAUUAUCUUGCGUCCGACCAUGGAUUGAAAUUCGACACUCUGCACGUCAUCGGACAUAGCCUGGGCGCCCAUGUCGCUGGCUAUACUGGCAAGAACACCAACGGCCAGGUGCACACCAUCAUCGGUCUGGACACCGCUCUACCCCUGUUCAGCUACGACAAGUCCGAAGAGCGUCUCUCCUCCAAAGAUGCCUACUACGUAGAGUCCAUUCACACCAGCGGUGGCACGCUGGGCUUCCUCAAGCCCAUUGGUAAGACCGCCUUCUAUCCCAAUGGUGGCAAAGCCCAGCCGGGUUGCGGUAUUGAUUGGAUCAGUAUCUGCGCUCACAGACGUUCUGUGAUCUACUAUGCUGAAGCUGUCUCCCACAAAAACUUUGGCACCAUUAAGUGCGCUGACUAUGAGGCAGCCGUUAAUAAGGAGUGCGGCAGUACCUACAGCACCGUUCGCAUGAGCGCUGAUGGCAAUGCCGACGAGGUCGAGGGUGUCUUCUAUGUGCCGGUGAACAGCGAAUCUCCCCACGGCAAUGCCAACUAUGUAGUAAUGUGACGCAAUCAAUCAAAUAAUUAGACUAGGUAAUCUAGUUGGGUUUACGACGCUAAUCAUAUAACUGAACGAUACACCUUGAGGCUAUAAUCCAUACUAUAGUGUGGUAUAUACAUACAUAUAUACUUAUACGGUAACCGGUACUGCUAUCAACAUAGUAAUUCAAGCAAUUCCAUUAGAAGCAAACAAUAUAUGGACUUGUCGUUUCCCACGCAGUGCAUAAAUCAUACGACAUUGAUGUAGGCCUCCACCGAUAAAGAUUUAUGAUCAGUGAUAAUUAUUAAUUAUACUUGUGGUUCACUAAAUGACUUCUAAUUGUAUGCCCAUUGCUCCUCAUUUUUCGAGGUGACCAUAUGUGCCUCCUAAAAGUAUGCAACAUGUGUGUGUAUGUUAUUCUAAUAUUGGAUUUUGUGUACUAUUUUUGCAUGUCAUUUAAUUCAUCUACUCUGCCAAUUAGCACGAACAGGAUAAUCAGCCAUGGAAAAAUCAUUAGCAAUAAUACGAGUACAACUCAGAGAGGUAAACACAAAAAGUGAGCAGUAAAGAAGGGGGCAGUGGGUGGCUGGGGCGGAAGUCUCUAAACAAAUUGAGUCACAGUUAAUAGGCUUUUGUUGGGUCAACCGUUCAUUGUUUACAUUACUCGUUUACACUCAGCAAAUUUGCUUCAAGCCACAGACAUAGACCAUAGCUGGCCGAAACUUCUUAUCAGUCGAAAUACCUCACAAUAUAAAACCCUUUUAGCUCUUAGCUUUCUGUUCCACGUACAUGGAAUUCCGCCAACUCUUUAACAAAUGCUAUUAAUUCAUACACAGCUUCGGCUGGCAGCUUAUGUUGGAUAGAUAAACAUGCGGCAGAACGUUGGCUUCGACGAAUUGAAAACGUACUGUUCAAUGACCAAAGUUCCUAUCGAAUUCUACCUGUUCACCAAGUCCAACCCCACCAAGGGUACCAAGAUCACAGCUACGAGCAAUUCAAUCGCCUCAUCCAACUUCAGUGCCUAUGAUCCAACGAGGAUUUAUUAUUCACGGCUAGACCCAGAGUAGCUCAUCGGACUUGCAGAAGAACGAUCGGGACGCCUGGCUGAGCAAUGGUGACUACAACGGCAUCGUUGUGGACUGGGCUAAUGCAUGUUCCAUGGACUAUAUUUCCUCCGUUGUGGCUAUACCCGGCGUAAGCCAGAAGGUCGCCAACAUGGUCAACUACCUUGACUUCCAUCAUGACUUGAGUCUCGACUACCCCAAGAAAAACUUUGGAACCAUGAAGUGCGAUAGCUAUAUGGCAGCCGUCAAUAAGAAGUGUGGCAACACCUACAGCACUAUUCGAAUGGGUGAUGAAGGCAAUGCCGACAGGGUCAAGGGUGCCUUUUAUGUGCCGGUGAACAGCAAUGCUCCCCACGGCAAUAUCAACUAAAUAAGAAUAAUAAUGUGACGCAAUCAAAAAAGUUACCGAAAACAAUCGAAUUCCGCUUUGCUUAAGGAAGCAUUUUUUGUGUAAGUAACUAAUCUUUGGGUUCACGACGCUAAUCAUAUAACUCGAAAAUACACAUUGAGUUUCUAAUCCAUACUAAGCCGUACACUAUAUGGCAAGCGAUACGUCUAUCAAUUUAGUAAUUGCUCAUGGAUCUAGCACUUCCCUUGCAAAUUUAAUCGAGUUUC